rnacentral:rRNA from 1 species
CAGUAGCCGCGGUAAAACGUAGGGGGCAAGCGUUAUCCGGAAUUACUGGGUGUAAAGGGAGCGUAGACGGUUAAACAAGUCUGAAGUGAAAUGCCGGGGCUCAACCCCGGAGCUGCUUUGGGAACUGUAGAACUGGAGUGUCGGAGGGGUAAGCGGAAUUCCCAGUGUAGCGGUGAAAUGCGUAGAUAUUGGGAGGAACACCGGCGGCGAAGGCGGCUUACUGGACGACAACUGACGUUGGGGCUCGAAGGCGUGGGUAGCAAACUGGAUUAGAUACCCCUGUAGUCCCUGUCUCUUAUAC